GAUGAACGCUGGCGGCGUGCCUAAUACAUGCAAGUCGAGUGAACAGACGAGGAGCUUGCUCCUCUGACGUUAGCGGCGGACGGGUGAGUAACACGUGGAUAACCUACCUAUAAGACUGGGAUAACUUCGGGAAACCGGAGCUAAUACCGGAUAAUAUAUUGAACCGCAUGGUUCAAUAGUGAAAGACGGUUUUGCUGUCACUUAUAGAUGGAUCCGCGCCGCAUUAGCUAGUUGGUAAGGUAACGGCUUACCAAGGCAACGAUGCGUAGCCGACCUGAGAGGGUGAUCGGCCACACUGGAACUGAGACACGGUCCAGACUCCUACGGGAGGCAGCAGUAGGGAAUCUUCCGCAAUGGGCGAAAGCCUGACGGAGCAACGCCGCGUGAGUGAUGAAGGUCUUCGGAUCGUAAAACUCUGUUAUUAGGGAAGAACAAAUGUGUAAGUAACUAUGCACGUCUUGACGGUACCUAAUCAGAAAGCCACGGCUAACUACGU
rnacentral:rRNA from 1 species